GAUGAAGAACGUAGCGAAAUGCGAUAAGUAAUGCGAAUUGCAGAAUUCCGUGAGUCAUCGAAUCUUUGAACGCACAUUGCGCCCUCUGGUAUUCCGGAGGGCAUGCCUGUCUGAGCGUCAUUGUCAACCCUCAAGCUCAGCUUGCUGUUGGGUCCCCGUCGUUGCUUUAACGGCGGACCCGAAAGGUAAUGGCAGAGUCCGUGAGACCCUAGACGCAGCGAGCUUCUAGCACGCGUCUGGACGUUUUUCGGGCUCGGUCUUAACUAGAUGAUAACUUCCGAUUGACCUCAGAUCAGGUAGGGAUACCCGCUGAACUUAAGCAUAUCAAUAAGCCGAGGA
rnacentral:misc_RNA from 1 species